CGGAGGAAAAGAAACCAACAGGGAUUGCCCUAGUAACGGCGAGUGAAGCGGCAACAGCUCAAAUUUGAAAUCUGGCUCUCGGGCCCGAGUUGUAAUUUGUAGAGGAUGCUUUUGAUGCGGUGCCUUCCGAGUUCCCUGGAACGGGACGCCAUAGAGGGUGAGAGCCCCGUCUGGUUGGAUGCCAAAUCUCUGUAAAGCUCCUUCAACGAGUCGAGUAGUUUGGGAAUGCUGCUCUAAAUGGGAGGUAUAUGUCUUCUAAAGCUAAAUACCGGCCAGAGACCGAUAGCGCACAAGUAGAGUGAUCGAAAGAUGAAAAGCACUUUGAAAAGAGAGUUAAAAAGUACGUGAAAUUGUUGAAAGGGAAGCGUUUAUGACCAGACUUGGACUUGGUUAAUCAUCUGGGGUUCUCCCCAGUGCACUUUUCCAGUUCAGGCCAGCAUCAGUUUUCCCCGGGGGAUAAAGGCGGCGGGAAUGUGGCUCUCUUCGGGGAGUGUUAUAGCCCGCCGUGUAAUACCCUGGGGGGGACUGAGGUUCGCGC
rnacentral:rRNA from 1 species